UAGGGAAUCUUCGGCAAUGGGGGGAACCCUGACCGAGCAACGCCGCGUGAGUGAAGAAGGUUUUCGGAUCGUAAAGCUCUGUUGUUAAGGAAGAACGAGUGUGAGAAUGGAAAGUUCAUACUGUGACGGUACUUAACCAGAAAGGGACGGCUAACUACGUGCCAGCAGCCGCGGUAAUACGUAGGUCCCGAGCGUUGUCCGGAUUUAUUGGGCGUAAAGCGAGCGCAGGCGGUUAGAAAAGUCUGAAGUGAAAGGCAGUGGCUCAACCAUUGUAGGCUUUGGAAACUGUUUAACUUGAGUGCAGAAGGGGAGAGUGGAAUUCCAUGUGUAGCGGUGAAAUGCGUAGAUAUAUGGAGGAACACCGGUGGCGAAGGCGACUUUCUGGCCAUAACCUGACGCUGAGGUACGAAAGCGUGGGUAGCAAACAGG
rnacentral:rRNA from 1 species